rnacentral:rRNA from 1 species
GAGUUUGAUCUUGGCUCAGAUUGAACGCUGGCGGCAUGCCUUACACAUGCAAGUCGAACGGCAGCACGGGAGCUUGCUCCUGGUGGCGAGUGGCGAACGGGUGAGUAAUGCAUCGGAACGUAUCCUGGAGUGGGGGAUAACGUAGCGAAAGUUACGCUAAUACCGCAUAUUCUGUGAGCAGGAAAGCGGGGGACCUUCGGGCCUCGCGCUCUUGGAGCGGCCGAUGUCGGAUUAGCUAGUUGGUGAGGUAAAGGCUCACCAAGGCGACGAUCCGUAGCAGGUCUGAGAGGAUGAUCUGCCACACUGGAACUGAGACACGGUCCAGACUCCUACGGGAGGCAGCAGUGGGAAUUUUGGACAAUGGGGGCAACCCUGAUCCAGCCAUGCCGCGUGAGUGAAGAAGGCCUGGUU